GAUUAAUGCUCCAUGGUUUAUCGAUAUGGCAUCGUAUUGAUAAUAAAGAUUUAUCGGUAUAAGAUGGGCAUGCGUAUCAUUAGCUAGUUGGUGUGGUAACGGCAUACCAAGGCAACGAUGAUUAGGGGUCCUGAGAGGGAGAUCCCCCACACUGGUACUGAGACACGGACCAGACUCCUACGGGAGGCAGCAGUGAGGAAUAUUGGUCAAUGGAGGCAACUCUGAACCAGCCAUGCCGCGUGCAGGAUGACGGUCCUAUGGAUUGUAAACUGCUUUUGUACAGGAAGAAACCUCCCUACGAGUAGGGACUUGACGGUACUGUAAGAAUAAGGAUCGGCUAACUCCGUGCCAGCAGCCGCGGUAAUACGGAGGAUCCGAGCGUUAUCCGGAAUUAUUGGGUUUAAAGGGUUCGUAGGCGGCUUUGUAAGUCAGUGGUGAAAUUUCCUAGCUUAACUAGGACACUGCCAUUGAUACUGCAGAGCUUGAAUAAUAUGGAAGUAACUAGAAUAUGUAGUGUAGCGGUGAAAUGCUUAGAUAUUACAUGGAAUACCAAUUGCGAAGGCAGGUUACUACGUAUUUAUUGACGCUGAUGAACGAAAGCGUGGGGAGCGAACAGGAUUAGAUACCCUGGUAGUCCACGCCGUAAACGAUGGAUACUAGCUGUUCGGUUUUCGGACUGAGUGGCUAAGCGAAAGUGAUAAGUAUCCCACCUGGGGAGUACGUUCGCAAGAAUGAAACUCAAAGGAAUUGACGGGGGCCCGCACAAGCGGUGGAGCAUGUGGUUUAAUUCGAUGAUACGCGAGGAACCUUACCAGGGCUUAAAUGUAGAUUGACAGAUUUGGAAACAGAUUUUUCUUCGGACAAUUUACAAGGUGCUGCAUGGUUGUCGUCAGCUCGUGCCGUGAGGUGUCAGGUUAAGUCCUAUAACGAGCGCAACCCCUAUUGUUAGUUACCAGCGCGUAGUGGCGGGGACUCUAGCAAGACUGCCGGUGCAAACCGUGAGGAAGGUGGGGAUGACGUCAAAUCAUCACGGCCCUUACGUCCUGGGCUACACACGUGCUACAAUGGCAAGUACAGAAAGCAGCUACCUGGCAACAGGAUGCGAAUCUCCAAAGCUUGUCUCAGUUCGGAUUGGAGUCUGCAACUCGACUCUAUGAAGCUGGAAUCGCUAGUAAUCGGAUAUCAGCCAUGAUCCGGUGAAUACGUUCC
rnacentral:rRNA from 1 species